rnacentral:lncRNA from 1 species
UCGACUUGCACUCGCAUUUGUCCACGUCCAGGGACUCGAGCUUCUCCUUCAUGAAGCUGAACGGCAUGACUGCAAGAGCGAUCGAUCCCACAUCAGGCGCUUGCUGUUUGAUCAUCAUGUUGGUCUGGGCAACACUUACAUGAGGUGAAGUUGAACUGCCUGACGCUGCCAACACCGCCGUCGCCCUCCACGGGAUGGGCGCUUGUGACGACGUGAGAGGCGACCUUGGGCGCCAGGUUGUGCCAGUCCAUCACGGCGGCGCGGAACAGGCGCGGCGCGGCCACCGGCGACGGGAUCUCUAGGGUCCAGCUGUUGGAAGCCAUGCUGGUGGUGGUCUGGGAUGAGCUUUGGCUCGGUGCCUAGGCCUAGUUUGAUACUAGUAGCUGGAGCUGCUGCUUGUGUUGCUGGAACGAGCGGCAACAAGGUAUUUAAAUAGAGUGCGGUGAGCGCGGGGUUGGUGACGCUUUGCCCGGUUGGUGUCCGGUGGUGACUGGUGAGGGCCUCAAGUUGCUGGGCGAGUCGUCGGGCUUUUCCACAAUGGAUGGCUCUGUCGGUCGAGUGAGCUUUUAGUAAGGCGGGCGUCGAAACACACGUCUUGCACGGUCUUUGUCAAAACACGAGGAUAUAUUCGAGGAGUAUGUUGACGGAAUUGGCGCCACCUUCCGCUUGCACAAUUUGGUCUUUGGUAUAUAAAAGUAGUAUGUAAUGACUGUCAGAGUUCUAGAUAUUUGACUGCAUGUCUGCAUGCUAGGAUAACUUCCAUUCUAGAACGAUAUGAGGCCCUUGACUAACAUGAAUACAUCAUCUUUUGAAUUUAGACAUGAGAAGACUUAAAUUUUGUUUGACAUAACUCAACUUUAUUUUUGAAACUGCUUUUUUUAAAUAGCUCUACGUGCAACUUUCUCGGUAUUAAAAAGUUAUUUUAUAAAAUAGCUUCACUAACAACUUUAUGUAUGGUUGAGAGAGAGAAAUGAAAGAGCGCUUUGAAAAGUUAUUUUUAGCUCUAUUUUUCUGUGAGAGCAUAAAAAAGGUGUUUGACAAAAAACAACAACAACUCACAACAGCUCAUGAAGUUGUUGGUUAAACCGUGUCACAUAGAGCCUCACUUGCUGUCGACGAAAGCUGGUCGGCAGUCUACCUUGGGGUAUACCCACGGUAGUAGUUUAUUGGUAGACGGUGCGCAAACUACGAACUCGACGGUGACGCAAGACUCGGACAAGCUUUUUAUCCAGGUUCGGCCGCCGAGUUGGCGUAAUACCUACGUCCUGCGUCUGGUUGUAUUGAUUUGUGUUGAGAGAAUAUCCUGUCCUAGGGGGGUCCCUUGCCCCUCCUUAUAUAGUCUGGAGGGCAGGGUUACAGAUCUGGAAACUAAUCCUAGUCGGUUACAAUUGUCAUAGAUAGUUCGAUAUCAAUUCCUAUUCUAACCGACUAGAAUCCUGCUUGAUCUCCACAUCUUGCUUCCUUGCGCGAAACCCCAUGCUGUCGGAUCAAGCCUUGAACUCGUCUCGUAAUGGGCCAAGCCUCCUGGCCCAAGUCUAGCCAUAAGGGUAUAGGGGUCUAUCCCCCCACACUUGCUGACAGUGAUGCCACCUUUUUCUUCUUAUCUCAUCCCUUAUGGAUCUUUUAUGAGAAACAUCUUGUUUAAUUUAUAAAAAAACUACCCUUUUUUUAAGUGACUCCUUCUUGCUCUAGCGAGAUCUUUUACCGUUGUCGAAAUGGUAACAUGAUGUACCACUCAACAUGCAUGAGAGGUAAACCACGGUACCUUUAGGACUAAUAGUUUUGACACCUACAGUACCAAACUCAAGUUAUAUAGUUUUGAUAACUUACCAAGGAUAAUAAAAAAAAACUCCUUACAAAUGCCUUCUAUGGCUUCUUAUAGGCACUUGUUAUGAUAUAAGGACACAACUAUGACAAUUAAGGAAUGGUGGGCAUCCUUAUUGAAGGUCCAUUUGGACUUUGGAUGCAAGGGGUAAUUGGUAGUUAGCUAAGAAUUAGCUCCCGUGUAUCUAAAUAGGAAUAUAUGUGCUAAUUUUUUAAUUAGCCAAGUUUUCAGCUAGUCGUUAGGCAAAUAGCUAGCCAACUAUAAACUAAUUUAGACUAAUUUUUAGCCCCAACUAAUAACUAGUGUAUCCAAAUAGAGUAGAAUUGUAAAAGAGAACGAUGGUAGUUCUAGUGUACUAUUUUUAGGAUGUCUACAAAUAACAAAAUAGAAGGGCUUUGCACGGAAAGAUGAAUUGACUCUAAAAAAGAAGGCUUGUGGCAAACCUAGUUUAGGCUUUUCAUUUCGCUGAAAAUACACUGAAAAGUACUGUUCACUGAUUUGUUGUGAGAGAAAAAUCCUGUAUCAUGACUGAUAAAUCUAAUGUCAUUGUUGUAUUCUUUUGUAACUUAAAUUUGCAAAAAUCUACAUUUUCUUUCUUUUUUAAAAGAAAAUGGACAGACAAGAGAGCUACCUUUUAUAUAGUACAGUCAGGCUUCUCCUUACGUGACCUGUCAUUUCUUAAAAAGAAAUGCAAGCUCGGUUGAUAAGGGUUUAGCCGUUUGAGGCCGCCGUUGAGCAUCACUUUUGUCUAAACUCAGAAAAUGAACUAAAAGCUGCUGUGAAGAGAUUUCGUGGCUUAUGAUUUGUUCUGGAAGCUAAAAAAAUAUUACAAAAUUCAAUAAUGAAAAUACAACAGUCAGAAGCCACAAAAUCAGCUUUUAUGUCAAAAGUACAAAAGAUACCGCUCAAACAAACAAGCCCUUAAAUGUCUUCUUCUCCCAGCUCUCUAGUGAACGCUAUAGCUCUUGGAGCUUUCAUAUUUUCCAUAAUAAUUUUAAACACUCUACCAAUAUCUACUGAAAAUGUAUCGAAAAAAUCAAAAUAUCUAUUAGAAAUGAGCAAAAUUAUCGGUCAAACUUGCAUAGAAUUCGAAAACAAAAUGCCCCUAUUCUUCCCACACAUAAAACCAUUGUAUACCCAUUUUCUGUCCCUUCUUCUUUCAAGAAAGUCAUUGUAUACCCAAAUAGUUUUCCAUCCGCCCUAUUUAUAGUCCAGUUUAUCCAGUUUUUGGUAAAACCUAGCCUAGCCCGUAGGAUUUAUCUACAACAGUUUCUAACCCACAGGUACCAGCGGUUUCCCUCCUGAUCUUCCCCAAUCGCCCACUUGCAACACCACGUUGCUCAUUGUUAACUUACUCUCCACGGACCUGUCCGCUCGUCGCGCUCGCCUCGAGCCGUCCGUGCGCUCUGGAGAUCCUAACUUUAUAUAUGGCCAUGCAGCCCAUGGCCCGGUGGCCCGGCCCAUGGCCUGACGAUUUGGCACGGCCCGAGGGACCCUGCCUAGGCCACCACCUAUGCACGCGACAUGGCCCAAGCAUGGCUUUAUCCAACGGUUGGCCCGGUAGCGGCUCGGUGAAAAUAAACUGUUGUGUAGUUGUGACUUAUAUAUAUAUGUGCCGUUAAUUGUUAUAUUGGAGAAAAUGAUGAACAAUUGGUGAAAAUGAUAAAGUGUUUUAGCACUUAGUGAAAAUGUUAAUGAAAAUGAACUGUUUUCGGCUAAACGGGUCGUGGGCUGGCACAAUACGAGAAAAACGCCAUGCUUGACGGGCCGACACGACACGAAAACCGGCCCAUAGGCCGUGCCUUAGGCCGAAGGCUAUGCAUGAAGUCCAUGGAGGCACGACCCGCAGCACGACACUGCAUGACGUUGGACAUAUAUAAUCCUAAAGCAGGACGAUUAGAAGGAAGAAGAUGGGGGUCUCCACCUGUCGUGCAGUGGAAUUCUCGUGCCUCCCCGUGCAUGGCCACGGUGCCACCAUUGACCACACGAGCGCGGCGUGGUGUGCGUCCGAAGAUGUUGUGGCUGGCGUUGAAGACAACCUCGAAGUUGUGCCUCUGUCCUCCAUUGGUGCCCAUGGGUACGCUGUUGAGCGGCGCUGGUGCCCCCUUCGUCGGCACGGGAGGAAGAACACGACCAAGUUUAACGAGUUGAGUGGUGUGGAAACGUCGCAAACCAACACGCGUGGUUUCUCCUGACACGGUUUACCGUGGGCUGAUUCACGGGUACACGGUUAGUAUACAUAUAUAUAGGGGGUGUUUGGUUCAAAAAAUGCAAAUGUCAAUUACUUUGUAAUGAUGGAAUGUAAAAGGUCAAACUUUUCAUGGUUAUGUUUAGUAAUGCAGAAUUUAUUGUCUUUAUAAGGGCCUCUUGAGGUUCUUUUGGUGUGUUUUUUUGCCUCUUGAGGUCAAAAUCUAAAAUAAAGAAUAAUUAUUUUUUUGCUAAAAAUUUUGCAUGCUGUUUAGUUAUAUUAUACAGAACAAUGGACCAAAACCAAGAAUUUUUUAGAAUAGCAGGGGAAAACACCCAUAAUCGCACAACGACAGCAUGCUACAUACCACUCAUAACAUCUCAAGUCCACACACCGCACACUGCUUAGAGCAGCUUUAUUUAUUUUGUACGAAAAAAGGAACAUGAAAGAAAAAAAAUCCAGUCUCUGAAUAUAUCAAAACAUGUAUAAGACCACCCGUGAAGUGCAAUCGCAUCCCCAUCCACAGAUUUAGUUGUAGGCGUCGGGGUUGGCGACGAGGUAGGCCUCGGCACCCUUGAAGAUGGCGGUGACUGCCUCCUUGGCCUUGACUUCCUCGCCCUUCACGUCCACACCCGGCAGCAGCUUGUAGGUCGACUCCACCUUCACCACGCUGCCGCCGCCGGCCGCGGGCUCCACCUUGAUGUGCGACGCCGCGGUCUCGACGGCCACGCCGAUGCCGCCUCCCUCGACGAGCGUCGACUUGCACUCGCACUUGUCCAUGUCCAGGGACUCGAGCUUCUCCUUCAUGAAGCUGAAUGGCAUGACUGCAAGAGCGAUCGAUCCCACGUCAGGCGCUAGCUGUUUGAUCGAUGAUCAAGCGAGAGAACAUCAUGUUGGUCUGGGCAACACUUACAUGAGGUGAAGUUGAACUGCCUGACGCUGCCAACACCGCCGUCGCCCUCCACGGGAUGGGCGCUUGUGACGACGUGAGAGGCGACCUUGGGCGCCAGGUUGUGCCAGUCCAUCACGGCGGCGCGGAACAGGCGCGGCGCGGCCACCGGCGACGGGAUCUCGAGGGUCCAGCUGUUGGAAGCCAUGGCUGGUGGUCUGCGAUGAGCUUUGGCUCGGUGCCUAGCUAGGUCUAGUUUGAUUAGCUGAUGCAAGUAGGUGGAGCUGCUGCUUGUGUUGCUGGAACGAGCGGCAAAAAGGGAUUUAAAUAGAGUGCGAUGAGCGCGGGGUUGGUGACGCUUUGCCCCGUUGGUGUCCGGUGGUGACUGGUGAGGCCUGAAAGUUGCUGGGCGAGUCGUCGCGCUUUUCCACAAUGGAUGGCUCUCCGUCGGUCGAGUGAGCUUUAUUAAUAAGGCGGGCGUCCAAAACACACGUCGUUGUCGCACACUCUUUGUCAAAACACGAGGAUAUAUUCGAGGAAUAUGUUGACCGAAUUGGCGGCUUGCCGCCACCUUCCGCUUGCACAAAUUGGUCUAGGUCUUAAAAACAAGCCAUGUAUGUCACAUUUGGUUGGUAUAUACAAGUAGUAUGUAAUGACUGUCAGAGUUCUAGAUAUUUGACUGCAUGGAUGUCUGCAUGCUGGAUAACUUCCAUUCUAGAACGAUAUGCCUUGACUAACAUGAAUUCAUCAUCUUUUGAAUUUAGACAUGAGAGGACUUAAGUUCCGUUUGACACAACUCAGUUUUAUUAUCGAAGCUGUUUCUUUAGAUAGCUUUAUGAGUAACUUUCUUGGCUGAGCUAUUUUAGAAAAUCAUUUUGUAAAAUAGUUUCACUAACAACUUUAUGCAUGGUUGAGAGGGGAAAAUGAGAGAGCUUUUUGAAAAGUUGUUUUUUAGUUCUACUUUUCCGUGGGAGCAUAAAAAAGGUGUUUGACAAAAGAAAAGAGUAAAGUCCAUCACCAGUCUCUAAACUUGUUUAGGUAUAUCAUCCCGGUCUCUAACUCGCAAAACGAUCGUUUAGGUACCUAAACUUGUUCGGCUAUAUCACUCUGGUCCCUAAACUUGGAAAUCUCAUAUAUAGGCCUUCAAACUUGUUUAGUUGUGUCAUCCCAGUCCCUAAACUUGUUUUUAAGUCUCGUCUGGUUCAAAACGGAACGAAUCUAAAAACUCUAUAAAUAACUCAUAACUUUUUCAUAUAAACUCAAAUAAAGAUAAACUUUAUAUUAAAAUUAUAGCCAACAAUGUGAUCUACAACUUUGUAGUUAAAAAGUUUUUAAACUAAAAUAAUUUAGGGUCUCAUUUUUUUGUAAGUUUAUUAAAUUUUGUGACACUAAAUGACUUCAAAUAAAAAACUUUUCAACUACAAAGUUAUAGAUCACAUUGAAGGCUACAACUUUAAUAUAAAGUUUGUUUUCAUUCAAGUUUAUAUGAAAACGUUAUGAAUUAUUUUUCUAUAUAGAGUUUUUAGAUCGCUUUGUUUUGACCCAGGUGAGACUCAAGACCAAGUUUAGGGACUGAGAUGACACAACUGAAUAAAUUUAAGGACCUAAAUGGGUAAUUUCUAAGUUUAGAAACCAGGAUGACACAUCUGAACAAGUUUAGAGACCGGAAUGAUAUAGACAAACAAGUUUAAUGACCUAAAUGAUCAAUUUAUGAGUUUAGGGACCGAUCGAGGUGAUACAACAGGUGGUGGAUUUUACUAUAAAAACUCACAACAACUCAUGAAGUUGUUGAUGAAGCUGUGCCAAAUAAGGCCUCACUUGCUGACGGUGUUGUCACCCUUUUCUUCUUAUCUCACCCUUUACAGAUCUUUUACAAGAAACAUCUUGUAAACAAAUCGUUGUCACCCUUUUUUUUUUGUUGAGUGACCCCUUCUCGCUCUAGCAAGAUCUUUUGCCGUUCUUCAAAUGGUAACAUGAUGUACCACUCAACAUGCAUGGGAGGUAAAAAAAAUGGUACCUAGGUACUAAUACUUUUGAUAGCUACAGUACCAAACUCAAGUUAUAUAUAGUUUUGAUACCUUACCAACGAUAAAAAAACUCCUUACAAAUGACUUCUAUGGCUUCUUAUAGACACUAGUUGCUAUAUGAUAUAAGGACACAACUAUGACAAUUAAGGAGUGGUGGGGUCUUUAUUAAAGGUUUGUUUGGACUUUGGAUACAAGGCGUAAUUGCUAGUUAGCUAAGAACUAGCUCGUGUAUCUAAAUAUGAGAGUUAAUAGGUGAGUUACUUUUAUAGUCAUUUUUUUUACUAGUCGUUAGUCAACAACCAGUAACUAGCCAUGUGUAUCUAAAUCUCCUACAACUAAAAAGAACAAAACGUGGAUACUUUUUGGUGCGACAUUCUAACGUGGGCCCAUAGUCCUGCCUGCUGCGUUCCCGUGGCCACUCUACAUCGUGCAUGACAUCCCUUGCGAUAUUCAAUUCAAAUCAAGAAUCGAUAUGUCAGGUUCCAGUUUUUAUACGAUUGCCAUAUGAAGCCUUUCCGCCAAAAGCCGUCCGACCACGGUGAAACAAAAAUAAUAAUAAAAUCUGCCCCAAUUCACGGACGGGUGACCAACGUGGCCAUGCAUGAAAGAAAUCGUCUAAAAAAUACUCAACUUUCCAUCUCUUCCGCUCCCUUUUCUUGAGAAAAAUGGUCAACCAUCGUGCAACUAAUCAGGAGACCAUCCCACCGAUCCCGCGUGCACAGCUGGCGGAAGCCCCUCGCGCGGUCACAAUCUCUCCUCAAUCAUGCACGGACAUCGCGUUCCUUAGGCAAAAGCAGAAAUUCCUCUCGAUCAUGCGCCGCCGCAACGAAACAUCUUCCUUUCCUGCCCGACGCCCUCGCUCUCGGUGCUUGGAGAGAUCGAGCCGAGCAUACCGGCUUCCCCUGAAGGCUUGAGACGGACACAGUUGACUGCUUCUUCGUCAUUGAUUGUCGCCAGCAACUGCGCCCUUGGCAUCGGUGUGGCCUUGCAAGAUUGGAUCUUUUUGUUUUCAUCCCAAUCAUCGCCAUGGCGGCCUCCUCCCCCUGAACGAUGAACGCAGCUGCUUCGUCAUUGAUGAUCAGCUUCUGACCCUUCACCAAUCUCUAUCCCCUAUUAUUUGUUCCAUCAUCUGUUCCACUUUCCACGAUUGAUUCAGUACUGGUGUUGCAAACUUAUUUCGAUUCUCAAAAAGCGAACAACCUGAUCGGUUUGGUAAGCAUCUUUCUAUUCCAGGCUAUCGAAGCUCUCAUUAAGCUUUUUGAUUCAGUUUGUGCCAAAGGUACGUUCUUGGCAAAUGCGAGCUGGCACCAUGAAGCAAAUUAUAGCUAUUGGAGUCCAGUAGAUAAUAUCUUGUGUGAUCUCCUUGUUCUUAAAUAGUGUAAUUUAAGAAAAAACUUAUUCAUGUUUGUUCUCUUCGACCUUUUUAGAUACAAGACACAGAUUAUUAUAUUGAUAUCAUAAUUGGUUGUGGCAUUGAGGUGUGUAAAUUUAUGCUUUUCUCUUUUCUGUCGGUGUUUAAACUCUCUUCUGAAUUCAUGCCAUCCAUUGACUCCAGGUGAGAAACACCUCCUGUUGUUUAAUUGUUUUUUUGCUCUUGCUUUCAGUAUGAAUAGUCAAAUAUAGUCAAAACAAUAACCUGGUUCAGUAGUAAUAAGGAAUCAAGCUAUUGCAACACUUCUUGUCAAAAAAAUGCAGCACUUCUAGAGUUGCUACGGGUUUUAAAAUUCUCACUUGCUGCACAUUAGGAGACGAAAUUCUUGGUUUCAGUUAGCAGAGUGACACUUAUCACUGUUAUCUAUAAGGCAAAUCUAACAACAUAGCACAGAUUGUGGACAUCAGUUUUUUUUUAGAAAGUGGACAUUGUGGGCGGCUGAGCGGGCACCUACGGGUGGGCGCGGCCGGCGUCAUGGCCAGCUCUGGGCGGGCGCGGGGUGGGGGAGGGGGGUGAUCAAGGCUGAAUCACAGGAAGGUUUCCUUUUAGGUGCUGUUAGCUUGGUUGGCUAAUCCCACACGCUUGAGGAGUUGCCUCUAGGAGGGGGCUGAAAUCACUUGGAGUUUCUUUUGAAUAUCGCAACGGGUGGAAAUAUUGAUCACGAAAAAAGUGGAAACAAAUAGCACCUUGGCUCUUUCCUUUUGAAUAUAGCAAAGGAUGCUGUAGGUGGGCGACGACGUUGUAGGCUCACAAAAUCACUGUCGUUUGCAAUAACAAAUACCUAUGAUUUAACUAUUUCUAUAUAUUGCUGAUCAUGAAUCUUCCUACAGGUACUUAAGUGGAUUUCUCAUCCUACAAUAUAUGUCUACAUGGAAUAGACCAAAAGCCACACAUAUUUAUACAGUGAGUCUAACACUUUGUCUAAGUUUUUGUAAAAGUUUUUUAACAAAAUAUAGUAUUACCCAUGCGACACACACUAAUAUUUACAUAUAUAUACUCGAAUGUGUGACAGGAUGGUACGAAGAUGCGGCAGAAUUUAUUUGUGGAUUUACUGGCACAUGAAAGAAAUGGAUAUCCGAGAUAUCUUCCCGUCGAUAUUAAACAUUAUCUUAGCCGUAUCACGGAAAGGUCUAUAAAGUAGAGUUUGUGAGCCUACAACGUCGUGCUCUUCGUGACUGUGUUUGAUUUCACAAACAUUGCGAUCCUACAAUGUCAUUUUCAAGUUGUUAUUUAAGUAGAAGAUUCUAAUAUUAUUAUCUUGUUAUGCGAUCUAUGUAUUUUAAAUAAAAAAUGUUAGCUAUCCCGUAGCAACGCACGGGCAUGCUAUCUAGUAGAGUAGAAUUGUAAAAGAGAACAAUGGUAAUUCUAGUGUACUAUUCUUGAGAUGUCUAGAAAUAACAAAAUAGAAGGGCUUUGCACGGAAAGAGGAAUGUACUGUGAAAAACAUGGCAUAACUUAUGCCGAGGCUGUUCGUUCCGUUAAAAAAAUAAGUUGAAAAGAAAGUAAUGUUCACUAAUUUAUUGUGUGAGAAAAAUAUUGUAUCAUAGCUGAUAAGUCUGUAGUGUCAUUGUUAUAUUCGUUUGUAACAUAAAUUUGCAAAACUCUACAUUUAACAUUUUCUCUUUUUUUUAGAAAAAAAUGGACAGACACGAGAGCUACCUUUUAUAUAGUACAGUCAGGCUUCUCCUUACGUGAUUGAGCAAAGCUCGGUUGAGCAAACAAGGAUGACACAUCUGAACAAGUUUAGAGACCGGAAUGAUAUAGACAAACAAGUUUAAUGAUCUAAAUGAUCAAUUUAUGAGUUUAGGGACCGAGAUGAUACGACAGGUGAUGGAUUUUACUAAAAAAACUCACAACAACUCAUAAAGUUGUUGAUGAAGCUGUGCCAAAUAAGGCCUCACUUGCUGAUGGUGUUUUCACCCUUUUCUUCUUAUCUCACCUUUUACAGAUCUUUUACAAGAAACAUCUUGUAAACAAAUGGCUUAACUCUUUUUGUUGAGUGACCCCUUCUCGCUCUAGCAGGAUCUUUUGCCGUUCUUCAAAUGGUAACAUGAUGUACCACUCAACAUGCAUGGGAGGUAAAAAAAUGGUACCUAGGUACUAAUACUUUUGAUAGCUACAGUACCAAACUCAAGUUGUAUAUAGUUUUGAUACCUUACCAACGAUAAAAAAACUCCUUACAAAUGACUUCUAUGGCUUCUUAUAGACACUAGUUGCUAUGAUAUAAGGACACAACUAUGACAAUUAAGGAGUGGUGGGGUCUUUAUCAAAGGUUUGUUUGGACUUUGGAUACAAGGCGUAACUGCUAGUUAGCUAAGAACUAGCUCGUGUAUCUAAACAUGGGAGUUAAUAGGUGAGUUACUUUUAUAGUCAUUUUUUUGACUAGUCGUUAGUCAACAACCAGUAAUGUGGGGGUAUAAACCCCUAUACCCUUACGGCUAGACUUCGGCCAGGAGGCUUGGCCCAUUACGAGACGAGUCCAAGGCUUGAUCCGACAACCUGGAGUUUCGCGCAAGGAAACAAGAUGUGGAGAUCAAGCAGGAUUCUAGUCGGUUAGAAUAGAAAUUGAUAUCGAAUUAUCCAUGACAAUUGUAACCGACUAGGGUUAGUUUCCGGAUCUGUAACCCUGCCCUCCAGACUAUAUAAGGAGAGGCAAGGGACCCCCCUAGGACAUCAUAUUCUCUCAACACAAAUCAAUACAACCAGACGCAGGACGUAGGUAUUACGCCAACUCGGCGGCCGAACCUGGAUAAAAAGCUUGUCCGUGUCUUGCGUCACCAUCGAGUUCGUAGUUUGCGCACCGUCUACCGAUAAACUACUACCGUGGGUAUACCCCAAGGUAGACUGCCGACUAGCUUUCGUCGACAGUGGCGCGCCAGGUAGGGGGUGUGCGUGCAACUUUUCCGGCGAACAAGAUGGUCACGAUCCCAGCUUCCGCGACCGUGCCCGAAGGCCUCACGUUCACCGUCGGCCAGAUCACGUGGACGGCGUGCAGCGGCGGCUUCACGACCACGGUUUCGGAAGAGAUCCAGAUCCAAUCUGAGUUCACGCCGUCUCCGACCACACGCAUGACGGCACCAAGCGCCCGACCACCGUUCCCACUCUACAAGGGAAAGGAGAUCGACUGCUCGGACCUUCUCCAAGCGCUUGAUCGCGCUGACUCCAAGCUACUCGAAGUUUCCCAACUAAUAGAUGGAGUUCUGCGUCGGCCCGACCAAGCUGCUCCAGCGGAUUUUUUCAAAUCCCGCCGGCCAACUCGUGUCGCCACACACGAACGGCUGGGAACGUCUCUGACGAUAACCUCAACCCCCUCAGGACGAUCCGUCCAGCUCAAGAAGGAAGACUAUCCUUGCGGCCUGAACAACUCGACCUCUGUUUACUCACGGCACACCCAAUCCGUUUUCAGCAAGGCGGGUUGGUCGCCGACAACGAACAAUCGUCACCACGUCAACAUGGUGACAAUCCGAGAACUACGGGACGGCCAGGCUUCCAGCACCAACUCAAGCACCGGCUCCGUCCCCACCGAGGUUAUAAACACCGAAGACGAGGACUAUGACCUGGAUUUCCCUUCAUACCCUCCGGGUUUCGACCGAUUCCCGAUAUUCCCCCCCCGGCGAGGGGAUAUUGUGUUCAAUGUCAGCGCCGACGAACCGGUCGUUGAUGGAGAAACAGAUGACCAGAGGCAACUCCGCGAACGGCGUAACGCCGAUCGCGCCCGACGACGCGCGGACGAGCAACAACAAAUGCCACCAAAUAAUCUCAACGAUGCCUUUGACAUGGUCGGGGACCAGCCAGUCUACAAAACGCCAAGCGCCAACGUGGCUGUCGCCAUGGCUAACCUGGAUCGGCUUCCCGACACCCCCGAAUGCCAGGGAGUCCGGACCAGCAUCCGAGCACACCUGAUCGCCGCAAUGGGACAGACGGCCACUCUGCUCAAGAGAGUCUAGGACGUCUCUUAUACGGAAGCCGUCUCCGACCAGACUAAUCAUAGCCGGGCCUCACCCAGCAGGCGUCACCGCAGCCGCUCCCCCGACAACCGUCGAGGGGACUCACGGCGCGACGAUGGUGGUCGGGACGCCGAUGGCCGCCGCAAGCAGAACCGCGUACGCGGCCAAGAGGAAGAUCAACACAGGGAUCUCCGCCACAACAUCCCUUCCAAAGAUGCCCGGGACCACAUCAACAGGCGCGCUGCAGAGAGAGCAGUCCACGAAAACCUGCGCCGCAUCGAGUACGAUGCAACACACGGUCCCCCGGGCCUAAGACAGUUCUCCUCGCACCUCCGCCAGGUCGUGUGGCCCCGCAAUUUCAAGCUCGAAAAACUCAAAAAGUACGACGGCAAGGAAAAUCCAGAGAACUGGAUCACCCUCUAUGACAUCGCCGUCCGAUCAGCGGCAGGGGACGAGCACGUCAUGGCUAACUACUUCCCCGUAGUCCUCGACCAGGCUGGUCAUCAGUGGCUUCUCGGCUUGCCCGAGGACUCCUUCGACUCUUGGGAAGAGCUACGCCAGGCUUUCAUCGACAACUUCAUCGCCACAUGCGAGCAGCCUGGAAACAAGUAUGACCUUGAAAGGAUAAGGGACAGGAAGAACGAACCUCUGCGCGAUUACAUCCGACGAUUCUCGGAUAUGCGCCUCAAAAUCCCGAAGAUUUCUCAUGACGAGGCCAUCUCAGCCUUCAUCAAGGGCCUGCGUUUCCACGAAGCGCUGAGGAACAAGCUGUUGCGUAAGCGUCCAACAACGGUAGCAGAGCUCCUCGCCACGGCCAAAAAUUACGCCGAUGCCGAUGACGCAGAAAAACUAAUCCGAGACGAUGCGAGGGGUCCCGACCAGCCUCCCCGACGAGAUGAUGGUCGUGGUCGCAACGACAGCAGAAAUCACCGCCGCUCCGACAACCGCGAUCAUCGAGAGGGUUGGGAUCGGCGGCGCGACAGCCGCGAUGACUUCAGAGGAAAGCGCCCUCGCGACUACGACCACGAAGUAAAUACGGUCAAACGACCCAAUGGACGACGGGACUACCAAGAAGACUACAACAAAACGUUGAGGGGACCAUGCCAACUACACCCAAAGUCCAAUCAUACCAUGGAAGAGUGCCGCGUCCUCAAAAGUAUCUAUACACGGCGGGCCGCCCAAGACGACUCCGCCAAGAAAAACAACAAGCGCGACGCGCACGACCACGAAGAUGAGGAUGAGGACCAAGAUAGGGACCCCCGACACCAAUACGUCAGCCCCACUGACGUGGUCCACUCCAUUUUCGGGGGCAAGGUCUCCACUGAGUCCAAGCGAGAAAGAAAGCUGUUAAAGAGAGCCUGCCUCAACAUAGACAGCACGGACGGGCUGAUCGCAGACCCGAAAUUUCCCACGUGGUCCCACAGGGAGAUCUCGUUCAGCAGGAAGGACCAGUGGGCCGCUAUCCCAGAGCCGGGUCGUUUCCCCCUGAUUCUUGACCCCUGCAUCAACAGCAUCAGAUUCGAGCGCGUGCUCGUGGACGGGGGAAGCUCCAUCGACAUCCUCUUCCGCAACAGCCUGCCCGCCCUCAAGAUAUCCCCGGCACAACUAAAACCUUACGACGCCCAAUUCUGGGGGGUUUUGCCAGGUCAAAGUUCCGUGCCUCUCGGACAGAUAACAUUGCCUGUCCAAUUCGGCACACCCGACCACUUCCGGACAGAGUUCAUCAACUUCGUAGUCGCGGAUUUCGACGGGACCUAUCACGCCAUACUGGGCCGCCCAUCGCUGACAAAGUUCAUGGCAGUCCCGCACUACUCAUACCUAGUCCUUAAGAUGCCCACGGAGAAGGGUGUCCUAACCAUCAGAGGCAACGUCUACACUGCGUACACCUGCGAAGAAGAAAGCUUCAAGAUCACCGAGGCAAUUGACCUCUCAAUCCGCAUGGCGGAAACAGCAAACCAAGCCGCACAGCUGCCUCCCGACCAGCUCCGAUUACCCGAACAGGCGACAGCCAGGAAGAACUCAAAAUCCAAGGAGUACAAAGAAGUGCAGCUGGUCGAAGGCAACCCCGAGAAGACAGCCCUCAUCGGGGCCAACCUGGAUCCAAAAUAGGAAGACGCGCUCGUCAGGUUUCUAAGGGACAACGUGAGCGUUUUCGCAUGGAAACCCGCAGACAUGCCCGGUGUCCCACGAAACCUGAUCGAGCACUCCUUAAAUGUCUCGAAGACCGCAAGACCAAUCAAGCAAAAACUGCGACGGUUCGCUCGUGACAAAAAGGAGGCUAUUAGGACAGAAAUAACACGGCUUCUAGCAGCCGGAUUCAUAAAAGAAGUGUAUCACCCCGAUUGGCUCGCCAAUCCGGUUCUUGUACGCAAAAAGAAUAAUGAAUGGAGAAUGUGCGUUGAUUACACUGAUCUCAACAAACACUGUCCUAAAGAUCCUUUUGGUCUCCCUCGCAUCGACGAGGUGGUCGACUCAACGGCCGGAUGCGAACUCCUCUCCUUUCUAGACUGCUACUCUGGUUAUCACCAGAUCUCGCUAAAGGAAGAAGAUCAGAUCAAAACAUCCUUUAUCACACCCUUCGGCGCAUACUGCUACACGACCAUGUCUUUCGGACUCAAAAACGCCGGAGCCACUUAUCAAAGGGCCAUCCAGCAAUGCCUCCACGACGAGAUUCGUGAUGACCUCGUCGAGGCCUAUGUGGACGACGUGGUCGUAAAAACAAGGGACGCGAGCACCCUAAUCGACAACUUAGACCGAACCUUCAAGGCACUUAAUAGGUACAAGUGGAAGCUCAACCCCAAGAAAUGCAUUUUCGGCGUUCCUUCCGGUCUACUGCUCGGCAACGUUGUCAGUUGCGACGGCAUACGACCAAACCCUUCAAAAGUAAAGGCGGUACUCGACAUGCGACCACCGAAGAACGUAAAGGAUAUCCAAAAGCUAACAGGAUGUAUGGCCGCCCUCAGUCGCUUCAUCUCAAGGCUAGGAGAAAAAGGCCUCCCUUUCUUUAAACUGUUAAAAGCGUCGGAAAAAUUUUUUUGGACAGAAGAAGCCGACACCGCAUUCAACCAGCUUAAGACCUUCCUCACUUCACCACCUGUCCUUACAGCCUGGAGUUUCGCACAAGGAAACAAGAUGUGGAGAUCAAGCAGGAUUCUAGUCGGUUAGAAUAGAAAUUGAUAUCGAAUUAUCCAUGACAAUUGUAACCGACUAGGGUUAGUUUCCGGAUCUGUAACCCUGCCCUCCAGACUAUAUAAGGAGAGGCAAGGGACCCCCCUAGGACAUCAUAUUCUCUCAACACAAAUCAAUACAACCAGACGCAGGACGUAGGUAUUACGCCAACUCGGCGGCCGAACCUGGAUAAAAAGCUUGUCCGUGUCUUGCGUCACCAUCGAGUUCGUAGUUUGCGCACCGUCUACCGAUAAACUACUACCGUGGGUAUACCCCAAGGUAGACUGCCGACUAGCUUUCGUCGACAAGUAACUAGCCAUGUGUAUCUAAAUAGAGUAGAAUUGUAAAAGAGGACGAUGGUAAUCCUAGUGUACUAUUCUUGAGAUGUCUUGAAAUAAUAAAAUAUAGAAGGGCUUUGCACGAAAAGAGGAUGUGAAAAACAUGGCUUAUGCCGAGGCUGUUUGUUCGGUUAAAAAAAUAAGUUGAAAAUAAAGUAAUGUUCACUAAUCUAUUGUGUGAGAAAAAUAUUGUAUCAUAGCUGAUAAGUCUGUGUGUCAUUGUUAUAUUCGUAACAUAAAUUUGCAAAACUCUACAUUUCUCCCUUUUUUUUAAAAAAAAUGACAGACACGAGCUACCUUUUAUAUAGUACAGUCAGGCUUCUCCUUACGUGAUUGAGCAAAGCUCCUGCCAUUUCUUAAAAAAAUGCAAGCUCGGUUGAUAAGGGUUUUGCCGUUUGAGGCUUCCGUUGAGCAUCACGUUUGUGUAAACUCAGAAAAUAAACUAAAAGCUGCUGUGAAGUGAUUUCGUGGCUUUUGAUUUGUUCUGGAAGCUAAAUAAAUAUUAAAUAAAUUUAAUAAUAAAAAUACAGCUACAAAAUCAGCUUUUAUGUCAGAAGUACAAAAGGUACCGCUCAAACAAACUAGCCCUUAGGGGGGCGUUUGGUUGCCUACACCAGUCCUCCUGAGCCAGGCUCUCCGCGUGCGAGAACAGACAUUUGUUUGGUUGGCAUAUGUGCCGAGCGAGGCUACACGCGUGCAAAAAGCCUCUCGCAGCCAGGCUCUGCUGAAACGCAGAAAUCGGCCGUUUUUGUUGGGCCUGGCUCACCUCAUGCGAGCAAGCACUGAACGAUGCAUGACGUGUGAGAUAGAGAUACGUGAACACGGUGAACCAAACAGAUGCUGCUGUUGGCCUAGCUGUAGUGAUCCAAGUAACCAAACAAGAUGCUAUCGCAUACAUAGAGCCUGGUCAAAGUUGGCCUGACUAGCUCUGUGCGAGCUAGGCUCUACCGAGCAACGAACCAAACAGUCUCUAGAUGUCUUCUUCUCACUGUGUGAAAAAAUGGCAUUACAGACGCGCCUUUACUGAUAUCACAGAUGCUCCUGAGUGCGUCAGUGAUAUAAAGUCUGAUAAAUAUUUAAUAAGACCUUAAUACUGACGCACUUCUAACAUCCGUAUGUAAGUAACACAUAGACACGUCAGUAGUAAAGCUUUUUCAGCGACGCCUAUCUAGAACACACGUCAUUAAGGUCCAGCUCGUCAGUACAAAAUUCUAACUGCAGACGCUUCUUCAGGAAUAGGGGUCUGUAGUAAGGAUUAAGCCACAGACGCAUUAUCCAGAGACGCGUCUACAGUAUGAAUUAAAUUGUAACAGUACCAUCGGCAUAUCUCUGUACUAAAUACCUCAAUGAAACGACAUAAAUACACAUCAACAUCUCAUUAAUUAGUACACAGCUUUAACACAAUCAAAUACAGAUCAAAGUUUAAUCACUAAAUUAAAUGUGUAGCUCUAAUAAAGUCACGUUACCUUAUGGCUGGCUAUCGAAUAACUUAUUUUGUAGCUUGAUCAAAACUGGCUCGUGGUCACCAGCGCACCAUGUGUGUCCAUUCAUCCAUGGCAGCUUAGGCGCGUGGCUUUGGCUUUGUGUCUCCCACCUCUCUAGUGAACGCGAUAGCUCUUGAAGUUUUUAUAUUUUCCAAAAUAAUUUCAAUUUUAAACGCGUACUAAAACAAAUUCAGGGUUACUGAUACAAAAUAUGAGAUCGGGUCGUAGAAAAAAGUGCCGAGAGAAAAACUUUUAGAAUAAAAAUAUAGAAAACUUUUGAAGAUGAUUUCUUUUUUUACUCCUCAUGUUAAUCUAGGAGUUCAUAAACAUGAUAUUUUGGGGAAUAUAAUAUAAAAGAUCUCUUGGAGAUGCUAUCUUUUCUUCCACCUCUCUAGUGAACGGUAUAGCUCUUGAAGCACAAAUCCAAUUCUACGGACGUUCAUUCAUUCUACCUCUUGAAGCUUUCAUAUUUUCCAAAAUAAUUUCAGUUUUCAAGACAUAUUCACUGGAACAGCCUCCCAAUAUCUAUUCAAAAUGUAUUCACACGAAAAAGUAAAUAUAUAUUCCAAAUGAGCAAAAUUCCUUAUUUGGUCAAACUUGCGUAGGAUUCCAAAAGGGUUUUUUUGAACGGUGCCAUUACAAUUUCAAAGUAUUUGAAAUAUGCCAUUAUAAUUCAGGUAUCCUGAAGCGGACCAUUACAAUUCUUGCAAAAUUUGAAAUAUGCCAUUGGAUACGGUAGAAGGACGCUUGGGCCUGCUUGCAAGCCGACGUGGCAUACGGUCGACCGUAUGCGCCCGUCGCCGUGAGCCAUCUAAACGGCGCGGCAAAAAACGCCGUCUCCACCCCGCCCCUGACUCAUUCUCGCUCUCCAUCUCUCUGUCUCUCUCGAGCGUAACCCUAGGCGCGGCGGCGGCGGCGUGGCGGCGGCGGCGCAGGGGGAGGCAAUGGAAUAGGGGCGCAUGUCCAUGGCAGACGUGCCCCCGUGCACGGCGCAGCGCAGGGCGCCGCGGAUGGGGGAUAGCAACGAAAGGUAAUGUUUUGUCCUUCCAGAGCACGAAUACGAGUGCAUUAGGUCUUGAUCUGUUGAUUGGCAUUAGAUAUUGAUGUGAUUUGGUUGAUGCUAGGGUUCCGCUAUUUUCUUUAGAAAUUAAAGUGGAAGCAUUCUGUUGGAGAGACUCUUUGGGUAGGAAAGCUUACACAAAGGGCUCUGUAAUUAAGUGGGAUGUGGAGAUUGGCUCGUUUUCAUUUGAUGUACUGAUGGCCAGCUUGCGCAAUGCUGUCAAUUGCUCUACUACUCAGUGUCCAGUUGCUUGGUUCUAUGAUAAAAGGUUGUCUCAAGAUGUCAUGCUAGAAAAUCAAUUCCAGAUUAAUGAUAUGUUUGAGAUGUAUAAGGAGGAGAUGCAUUGCCACAUUGUCGUAGGGGUAUUUGAUCAGUCUGUUCCCACUAUUGAUCAAUUUGAUGAACUAGAUCUUCCUCCUGACACUAGCACUGGCAACCCAGCCAGUACUGACAGUUAUGUUAACCAGCCCACAUUUGAGGCAGAUGUUGCACCAGAGGCUGAAGUUGAGACUCAACUUGAGCCUGAUAGGGAACCUGAUAUGUUUGAUAACGAUGAGGAGUAUGUGGGUUGUGAUGAUGAGGGCAUGUACAUGCCAACACCACCAACACAGCCUCCUAGUAAUUCACCUCCACAUGCUUCUCAUGAUGCUGAAAAUGCUGAUGCUGAUGCUGAUGCUUUUCCUGUUGAGGCAGAGGUCACUGAUGCAGACCCUGAAGAGAUCAAUAUCAUUCAUGACCCAGAACAUCCCAAGAUUGUAAAGGGGGAGUUAUUUCCUGAUAUUGUUUCAUUCAGGAAAGCUAUCAGGCAUUUCUCUGUUACUAAAGGCUAUGUGUUAGCUGGUAUCAAAACAGACCCAUCAAGAUUUAUUGCAAAGUGCAAAUCCGAGGGAUGUCCUUGGCGCAUACAUGCAUCUAGGCUGCAGGGUAGAAAGACAAUACAGGUAACUGUCUAUUCACUAGUUCCUUUGUGCAAGUUUUAUUUUUUCUUUACCUGACAUGUUUCGUAUGCACAGAUCAAAGUACUGCCUGCAGAAGAUGGCAUCACAGUCUUGGUGUGCAGAUAGGCUGGCAGAUUGGAUAAAAAAACAUCCAACAAAACGUGCAAAAGAGUGCAGGGAGAAGUUGGAAGAUGAUUAUGGCAUCAAGCUGAAGUAUUCAAAGGCUUGGUCAGGUAUGCAGUGCGCAUUGGAUCAAAUCCAUGGUAAAUAUGAGGAAAGUUUUCAACUGCUAUUCAAUUGGGGUGCUCAAAUUGAAAAGGUAUCUCUUGGUAGCACUGUAGUGGUAGAGGUUGACAAAAUUGGUAAGAAGAACAGAUUCAAAAGAAUGUUUGUUGCUCUAAAGCCUUAUGUAGAUGGAUUCUUGGCUGGUUGUAGGCCUUUUUUGGGUAUAGAUGCAUCUUGUUUGAAUGGAAAGUAUAGAGGUCAGCUAGCUUCAGCAACCAGUGUAGAUGGACAUAAUUGGUUGUAUCAUGUAGCUUAUGGCAUUUUUGACAUAGAAAAUGAAGACAACUGGACAUGGUUCUUGCAACUUCUUAGUAGAGCAAUUGGGCCUGUCCCAAAUCUUGUAGUUUGUACAGAUGCAUGCAAAGGCGUGGAGAAUGCAGUGGGUAAAACUUUUCCAACAGCUGAGAAUAGGGAAUGCAUGAGACAUAUGUACCAAAACUUUUAUGAAGCACUAUUCUAGUGAUGUAUUCACAGACCACCUUAUCCUACAGCUAGAAGUUACACUCAAGAAAAAUUCCAGUGGCACAUGAAUCAGAUACAUGAGUAUGCUCCUCAAGCUAUAGAAUAUAUUGAGAAUUACCACAGCAGGAUAUGGUACAGGUGUGGGUUCUCAGAAAGUAGCAAGUGUGAUUAUUUGACCAACAAUGUGUCAGAAAGCUUCAAUGCACAGGUGAAGCACCUCAAAGGUUUAUUAUUACAUGAACUGGUAGAUGUUGAUAUUUGGUAACGCAAUAAGGAAAUAAUCCGCAAGCGCACGGAUAUCGGUGAGCAUUUCACCCGGGAGGUUUUCCAGAGUAUCGUAUUUAUAUUUUUACCACUGGGAGAAAGGGUGCAUCUGACUAACCAAAUCUAUUGCUACUAUCCCUUUAGGCUACAAAGAAUGUUUCUCAAUGUGAGUGAUAUAUAGAGAAGACUGCAACCGUAGUCUCGUUCUAACCUUGGUAAGGAUGAUCUACUGUUCUAUUGGGGAAGCUUACGGAAUCUAGACACCACAAAGGAUGUUUGACCCGCACCUAUAAACCUACCCGUCCUGCUAACAAGAUAUGGGAUACAAAGGUAACUCGGAAAUGUCACGUUCCUCGCUACUACCACGGUCCAGCUAGUCAGGGGAUAUCUAUGAGUACCCUAGUGAAAGGUCCUAAUAUGGCUAGAGGGGGGUGAAUAGCCUAUUUAAAAAUUCUACAAACUCACUAGAGCGAGAGGUUAGUAAAUAACAAAGCGAAGCCUUUUGCUCUAGCUCUAAUGGGGUGUUUGCAAGCCACCUGUCCAACAAUUCUAGUUGAUAUAAUCACUAGACACACAAGAGCUAUGUCACUACUUACACUAGAAAGCUACCUAAAGUUUCUAUACAAGUAAGUAAGCUACUCUAGUUUGCGGGAAUGUAAAAGAGAUGGUUUUAACUUUAUACCGCCGCAUAGAGGGGAUGAACCAAUCACUAAUAUGAAGUCCAAUCACCGGGAGAAAUCCAAUGAACAAUCACAAUGGAUACACACAAUUUUACUCCCGAGGUUCACGUGCUUGCCGGCACGCUACGUCCCCGUUGUGUCGACCAACACUUGGUGGUUCGGUGGCUAAGAGGUGUAGCACGAACCUCGUCCUCACUAGGACACCACAAGAACCUACCCACAAGUGAGGUAGCUCAAUGACACGAGCAAUCCACUAGAGUUACCUUUCGGCUCUCCGCCGGGGAAGGUACAAGACCCCUCACAAUCACCGGGAGAUGGCCACGAACAAUCACCAACUCGUGCUAAUCCUCCUCCGUUGCUCCAAGCCGUCUAGGUGGCGGCAACCACCAAGAGUAACAAGAAAACCGCAGCUAGAACGAUCCCCAAGUGCCACUAGAUGCAAUCACUCAAGCAAAUUCACUUGGAAUCACUCCCAAUCUCACAAAGAUGUUUAAUCUAUGAAGGAGAUGAGUGGGAGGUGUUUGCUUAGGCUCACAAGGAUGUUAUGUAUGUUAGAAUGCCAAGAGAGUGAGCCCCAAGCCGGCCAAACACGUAUUUAUAAGCCCCUCAAGCAAAUAGAGCCGUUGGCACUUUCACUGGGCAAACUGCGGGGUCACCGGACGCUCUCAAAGGGGCACCGGACGCUCAACACCAGCGUCCGGUGCUCCAACGUCAGCCAUGUGUCGCCUUUUGAAAAACUCGUGUCAGAGUCUAACGGUCACCUGCAGUGCACCGGACGCUAAGCAAGUUAGCACCGGACGCGUCCGGUGCACACCGGACUCAUGCGCAGAGAGCUCCGCAAACUCGCACGGUCACCGGACGCAAGCCACCGGACGCACCCUGAGCAUCCGGUGCUCACCGAACUCAUGCGCAGAGAGGGUUGCAAAACGCCCUCACACCGGACGCUAACCACCGGAAGCGUCCGGUGCUCACCGGACCCAUGCGCAGAGAGGGUCGCAAAACGCCCACACACCGGACGCGCACCACCGGACGCUCAAGCCAGCGUCCGGUGCCUAUCGUCCGGUGCCUUACCCUAGCUGGGCCAGGCACUGUCUGCACCGGACGCUCAGACGCAGCGUCCGGUGCUCCAGAAGCCAGCGUCCGGUGAGUGUUUUCUCAGCGAGAAACACUCCCACGACUACUCCAAAUUUCCUACCGACGCAAUAGAAAAUAUGCAUUUUAUUUUCUCGAAAAGCGCCGAAUCCCACCUCGCAAGCUCGGCGGGAGGGAGAGAGGAACCCAUCCUCUCUCUACGUACUCUUCAAACUCCACCUCCUUCUCAAAGUGUGCCAACACCACAAGUGUAAACCAACAAGUGUGCACGUGUGUUAGCAUUUUCACAAUCAUUUUCUUAGAAGGAGUUAAGUUAGCUCACUAGGUUCUAAAUGCAUACACAUGAACAAUGACACCUAGUGGCACUUGAUAACCGCUUAGCCAAAGAAUUCCCCUCUUUAUAGUACGGCUAUCUAUCCUAAAUGUGAUCACACCCUCUAUGGUGUCUUGAUCACCAAAACCAAAACCCUAAGCAAUACCUUUGCCUUGAUCUCCAUAGGGUUUUGUUUUUCUCUUUCUUCUUUUCCAAGUUGAGCACUUAAUCAUCUUGUGGUCAUCACCAUGAUCAUCAUGAUCAUCACUUGCUCCAUCACUUGGCAUGUACCAACCUCAUUAAGUCUACACACACUUAGUAUAGAGGUUAGUACUAGGGUUUCAUCAAUUAUCCAAAACCAAACUAGGGCUUUCACCUAGCCUAAACACCACGUUUACGCUAGCAAUAAUUACUCUAAUACUCAACCGGAAGAGGAUUAAAUUAAACUCAUAAACCAAAGAACAAUAAAACAAGAACUUACUAGAAUUAGAAGUCGAAUUACUGAAGAAUCUUAGAAGCAAGCCUCGGGUUAGAAGACUUGAUCCCGCAGGUACAACUCGGAGUAGACACCGACAGGUCGGCCUUCCUCCGAUCUACACCUCCACUCUAUCUCUCUCAAUCUAGUAGAAACUAGAAGAUCUAUUUCUACUUACAUUGGUUGCUAAGCCUAAAAAAAUAUUAUUUAGAGAAGAGGUUUUCCUUCGAGGGCACCCCUCAAUCUCUAUGAUAACUUCUUGUCUUCUCCAGGGGCCAGGGGGGUCUCCUUAUAUAGUCCUCCUCCUCUAUGCGUUUUUGGGUCGGUAGGCGAUGUGGUACUACAUUAUCCUUGAUCCAUUAGGUCGGUGGAACAUCGUGUGCGAAGAGAGUCCCGAACGGAGUCUAGGACACGGCGGGCGCCCAGGGAAAGAGGGCGGGCGCCCUGGGCCUGGCCCCUUUCGGCCUCUGCUUUCUUCCCGUGGCUUCUGGAGUCUUCUAGAUGGUAGAAAAUUACGCGGUGCGUUGAUAUCUCUAUGUAAUCCCGACAUGUGGGCCUUUCUUCCGUAUUUUUUGAUAACCCCCUGCAGAAAUAGACAAACACCAAAACUCAUGGAAUUCUGUCAGAUAAAACCCUAAGUCUAGAUGUUGAUUUCAUUUGGAUCCUUUUCUUUGUUUAUUUGAUAAUUAAAUUUGAUACUUAAGGACCGUCAACAGUAGACAGAAUUAGAGAGCUUAUAAUGGAGAAGAGAUAUUUGAGGAAGAAAGUUGCUAGGCAGUGGGAAGAUGGAAUCCUCCCAAAUGUGAUGAAGGAUUGUUGGGUAUUCUUAACAUCAUUACCAAAAGUAGACUAAGUUCUCUAAAUCUAGUAACGGUGCCAAAAAUGCCAAACCUAUCCCUCACACCACUUAAGCCAAGUUGUCAUCCCCAGCAUGACAUGAGAGACGCGGUAUUGAAAUAUGCAAUUGCUCUUCUAAAUAAAUAAUGAAUGAGAUCUGCAAGCGCACAGAUUAAUACCGAUGUAGCAUUUUAACCGGGAAGUAUUCUAGGUAUCGUUAUUUAUAUUUUUACCACUGGGAAGGGAUUAGCAAUCAUCACUAUUGAUUACAGAAUAGAAUAUGAGAUUGAGCAUCUAUCAUUGCAUGUAUAAUUGAGAACAUUUAUCUAACUCUUCAUACAGGGAUAAGUGUCACAUAAAAGAUAUAUGAAAUAAUAAUAGUGACAAGGAUAACUAAUCUGAUCUAGCCACAUAAUAAAUAUGAUAAGCACCUCAAUUAGAUACUCUAGAAAGUCAUUAGCAUGGUAUUAGAACGAACUAUAAGAAUAUUCCCUAAGUUAUUCUCAACUAUAUAGUUUAGCAUUAUCAUAGUUAGUGCAAGCAUACUUAGCAAUCAUUGUGAGACAAGACUACGCCCAUGCAUAGUGAUAUUAGCAAGGAAUAUGAGAAACAUAGCAAUCACUCCCCUAUAAUAAUGUUGCUCUGCCAGCCCAAUACACGAGAGGGGGACUAUAUAAGAAUCAAUGAAGCUGUCACUAUCACGAACCACCCCACGAUCUGGCAUAUUGGGUACAAUCGCAGAUAAAUAUGGUAUAAGCACCACGCCUACACAAUAUCUAUCAUUUACCCAUGGAUCCGAUGGAUAAACGCUAUACGAUCCUAAGCAUGUAUAUAGAUCGAAUCUAACUAAGCCAAGUACAUAACUAUGAUAAACUAAGAACAAUAUAAUCUUGAAUAUAAGCAAGUAGAGCAAAGUCAUAAGCAAUAUAUUGAAGUAGAACAAAGUCAUAUUUAUAAUAUUGAAGAACAAAGAUAAUUAGAAAGUAAUUAGAAGCACAAUUAGAGAAUUACCAAGAAUCCUCUUGACAGAUCCGGAAACCAAUCGAAGAUUGACUCCUUCUAGUUCUAAUCCUAUGUAGCUAUGCUAAUCUAGAUAUCUAAUUGAUGUGGUGGCUCUAAUCUUGAUCAGAGGCUUCUUCUCCCUUGAAGAACAAUGAAUUAGGGUUGAGAGGCUCCCCCCUCUAGGGGCCAGGGGGUCUGGUUUUAUAGUCCCUUCAAGUGAAUAUGGGCCGUUGGAUCAAACCGACAUAGAUUGUAUGGUUUAGAUUCAUCCUUUAGGUCGGUGGAAAUCUCCCACGAAGCAGAGUCCUGAUUGGACUCAGGAGGUGGGCGGGCGCCCUGAUCACCUGGGCGGGCGCCCAGGGUCACGCCCCGUUUCGCCUCCGCUUCGGUUUCGUGGCUUCUGGAGUCUUCUAGAUGUAAGAUAAUUGCGCGACACGUUAAUAUCUCUAUGUAAUCCCGACGUGUGGGCCUUUCUUCCGUAUUUCCUGAUAACCCCCUACAGAAAUAGACAAACACCAAAACUCGUGGAAUUCUGUCAGAUAAAACCCUAAGUCUAGAUCUUGAUUUCAUUUGGAUCCUUUUCUUUAUUUAUUUGAUAAUUAAAUUUGAUACUUAAGGACCAUCAACAAGGAUCUCAACCUGAUCAGUACUCAACUCAAUGUAGUCAAGGUCAAAGUCAGUGAUGAUAACACUGCUGAAGUUACAAUCCUGGAGUGGGAGAAGCAAAGGAGGCACACUGUGGACCUAGGAAACCACAAUUGUUCCUGCAGGCAGUGGCAAGUGACUGGAAAGCCAUGUAAGCAUGCUUUGGCUUGGAUACUGUCAAUCCCAGGGAUGAGAAUUGAGGAUUAUGUACAUGAGUACUAUUCAGUUGCUAGAUUUAAGGCAGCUUAUGCUGAUAGGAUUGAGCCUAUCCCAGACAAGGAUGAAUGGCCUGUUGUCAACCUUGGUUUUAAAGUGUAUCCUUCAUUGCUAGGCAGAGGUCCAGGAAGGCCAAGGGUUGUAAGAAUUAGAGGGACUUUUGAGCAGAGGGCCACGAAGAAGAAAGUUAGGUGCAAGAGAUGUGGUGACUUUGGACAUUUUUCCAAGACCUGCAAGUUGCCAGAACUAGGUGAAGAUGGAGAAAGAGGACAAGGGUCUUCAAAAAGGUAUUAAAACUAUUGUCUAACCAUUUUAUUAUUUUUUCCUAUGUACUAAGAUCUAACCGGCUAUUGUCAUCUCAACGCAGAAAGAGGCCGACUCAGCAAGUGUCAUCACAGGAAGCUCCAACGCAGGAAGUACCAACACAGGAUGAUGCUGGACCUUCCCAGGUGAAGAAGACCAAGCCUCUGAAGAAGGUUACAACUAAGAAGAAGAAGAAGACACCAAAGAAAACAAAGCUGCAGAGGGAAGCAGCUGCACCUGGGAAGGCUGUUAUCAGCAGCAUCAGGCACCUGAUCUAUGAUGCUCCACAGGAUGCUGAUCUAUGAUUCUCCACAGGAUGCUGAUCUAUGAUGCUCCACUUAUAUGGCUUUGUUCUGAACCUUACUAUGUAAUGAGGCAUUAGAAUGCCAACUUGGAACUUGUAUGGCUGAUGCUGCUACUAUGUAAUGAGGCAUUAGAACUUGCCAACUAUUUUCAGUCAUGUGAACUCUACUUAUGUUAGUUUGUACUCUCCUGUAUUGUGUCAAUUAUCAUGUGAACUCUACUUAAAAUGUUAAGAAAACAAGACAAAGUGCUGCAGAAAUUCUAAUAUAUUUUGAAGCUGAAAUUCUAAUCUAUUUUCAGUGACAAAAGGCAUAGGACAAUGCUGAUCAUACUCAUCGAAGAAACUCAGUGACAAAAUGCUUGUUCUUUCAUUGCAAAUACACAUAAUUACAGUCACUUCAUCAUCUGAGAAAAACCUACACCUAGCAGUACACCCACAAGGACACCUACAACAACAGAUACAUCCAACACAAUUUGCAUUUUCCCCUUCCUGCCCAAGUCCAGUGCUGGACUCUGAUUACUAACUUGACUAGGAACAGCAACAACAUCUCUGUCUCCAAGUUGCACCUUCAUUUUCUCAAGUUCAGUGACAACUCUAUCUAGAGUUUGCUUCAUCUCCUUGUCCCGUUGAUUCAAAUCAUCAUUAGGAUCCCCAACUGCUGAAUGAAGGGGCAACUGCAGCUGAAUCUCUUUCUCCUUUUGCUUCAUAAACCAUGCCUCGUACUGCUCCUCCGAACGAAUCCAGCCACAAGUUGUUGGAUCACCCUGUGCAAGCAACACCAGUCAAAUUGAAAACAAAGGAAGCACAUUCAAGGGCAUAAACAAUGCAAAUAGUUACCUUUACGUUGUUUGGGCACUUGAUGAAUGCGACAUCCUUUGAGUGCUCUUGCUUGCUCACGAUUCGGAUCAAAGGAACAUUGCACACUGGGCAGUUCAGUAGGGGGCACUGCACCCUUCUACUGCCAGCAGCGGAAGAGCUCGAGGCCAUCUUCAUCUGCAGCGCCGCCGUCGGGAUCGUGGCACCGGAAUCGCCGCCGCCGCGCCUAGGGUUACGCUCGAGAGAGACAGAGAGGUGGAGAGCGAGAAUGAGUCAGGGGCGGGGUGGAGACGGCGUUUUUUGCCGCGCCGUUUAGAUGGCUCACGGCGACGGGCGCAUACGGUCGACCGUAUGCCACGUCGGCUUGCAAGCAGGCCCAAGCGUCCUUCUACCGUAUCCAAUGGCAUAUUUCAAAUUUUGCAAGAAUUGUAAUGGUCCGCUUCAGGAUACCUGAAUUAUAAUGGCAUAUUUCAAAUACUUUGAAAUUGUAAUGGCACCGUUCAAAAAAACCCAUUCCAAAAUAGAAAGUCCUUUUCCUUCCCAAACAGAAAACCAUGUUUAUCUGCCAACAGUUUCUAACCCAUGGGUCCCACGGGUGCCAACGGUUUCCCUCUUGAUCCUCCCCAAUCGCCCGCUCACACCACCACGCCGCCACGCCGCUCAUCGUUAACUUCCUGCCCUCCACGGACUUAUCCGCUCGUCGCGCCCGCCUCAAGCUAAUGACGAAUCUAAUGAGUAGAAGAGUGAGGGCAUGUGUCCUUAAGGAAAAAAAACGUCUUCGACCAGAAAUCUCCACCUGCCGCGCUGUGGAGUUCUCGUGCUGGGGCUCCUCCCCGUGCGUCGCCACGGUGCCGUGGCUGACCACACGAGCGCGGCUUGGCAUGCGUCUAAAGAUACAGUGGCCGUUGUUGGAGAUGACCUUGAAGCUGUGCAUCUGCCAUUCUGCCUUCCAUUGGUGCCUAUGGGGUACACUGUCAAACAGCGCUGGUGCCCCCUCCAUCGGCGCGGGAGGAAGAAGAUGACCAGGUUGAGCGGUGUGGAACCGUCGUAAACGAAUCUGCGCGGUUUCUCCCAACACGGUUGACUGUGGGCUGAUUUACGGGUACACGGUUAGUAUACAGCAUCGUACAUACCACUCAUAUAUAUAGUCAUAUAUAACAUCUCAAGUCCAUACACGGCACACUGCUUAGAGAACCUUUAUUUAUUUUGUAUGAAAAAGGGACAUGAAAGAAAACCAUUCUCCGAAUAUAUCAAAACAUGUAUAAGGCUGCCCGUGAAGUAGAAUCGCAUCCCCAUCCACAGAUUUAGUUGUAGGCGUCGGGGUUGGCGACGAGGUAGGCCUCGGCACCCUUGAAAAUGGCGGUGAGUGCCUCCUUGGCCUUGGCUUCCUCGUCCUUCUCGUCCAUGCCCGGCAGCAACUUGUAGGUCGACUCCACCUUCACCACGCUGCCGCCGUCGGCCGUGGGCUCCACCUUGAUGUGUGACGCCGCGGUCUCGAUGGCAACACCGAUGCCGCCGCCCUCGACGAGCGUGUUCUUGCACUCGCACUUGUCCACGUCCAGGAAAUCGAGCCUCUCCUUCAUGAAGCUGAACGGCAUGACUGCAAGAACGAUCGCGCACGUCAUUCGCUAGCUAUUUGAUCGAUCGAUCGGGCGACAACAUGUUGGUCUGGGCGACUGGGCAUGCUGCGGACACUUACAUGAGGUGAAGUUGAACUGCCUGACGCUGCCAACGCCGCCGUCGCCCUCCACGGGGUGGGCGCUGGCGACGACGUGGGAGGCGACCUUGGGCGCCAGGGUGUGCCAGUCCAUCACGGCGGCGCGGAACAGGCGCGGCGCGGCCACCGGCGACGGAAUCUCCAGGGUCCAGCUGCUGGCGGAGGCCAUUACUUCAGUGAUCGGCCGAGAUAAACUAAACUAGGUGCGAGCCGAAGCUGCUUAGGUGCUUGUGCUGCUGCAGGUGGUUUUAGGAUUGCGCUUUUGCUUGCGUUGCCAUUAGAGUGGCGGACGGAGGACUUUAAAUAGGCGGUUAUGGCGGGGUUGGUGGCGUCCCGUGAGGAUGAGACGCUCGGGAGUCGUCGUCGGCGGCUCUUCCCACUUUGGCUUGGCACGGCACCGUCGCUCGUCGGUCCAUGUAGUUCAUUAUAAUAUACUACAUGUUGCCGGGGUUGCGGACAAACGUCUGGAAACGUGCUGCCAUUCCGUCAGCGUUCAACCCCUGAAGGUGUAGAAUAUAUAUCGUCGAAUUGGCGAGCCAAAUCAGCUUCCAGAUCAAAAAGCAUGUACUGUAAGCGUGGGUUGGUGUCAUUAGAAACGAGAAUUAUACCGUACGUGAGCGUCCUGACUACUUGCAUCACUCUUUUGGUGUCGCACUGUCGCUAUUAACUACUAAUAAUAAACAUAAUCCUGUAAAUCCACCUCUUUUUAAUCAUCCUAUAAAUACCUCUACUGGCGACAGCAUGGACAAAGCUCAUACGGAAAAUAACAUAGUGGUGGCCAAAGCUGUAUGGGAAAAUAUUGAUUGCAGACUAUCAAUUGGGUGCAAAAGUACUCAGUGUAAACUAUUAAUUAAGUGCAAAUAUAAAGACAAUUGCUAUGUCACAGUUGAUUGUUUUAGCCUCCGUGAAUAACUGAUUUCCUGGCCGUUUGAUUCUUAUCACGUGGGAUGAAAGAAAGACCAACAACGCUGCGGAAGCAGAGCGUGAGGAAGGACCGAAGGAGCCACCAGGGGUCCACUGAUGUCGCCAUUAGCACCAAGGAGAGGCCGUCGUCAGAGUCAGAGUCAGGGUUGUAGAGGGCUAUCACGUCCGUUGUCGAGGUCGGGGUGGGGUAAAGAUGGCAAUGGAUAAUUACCCGCUGGGUAUAUGCUACCCAUACCUUUACCGAUGAGAAAAUAUUUUACCCGUUAAUUUACAUAUCCAUGUAUGGGUAAGAGUUUUUUCCCAUACCCUUACCCACGUGGGUAACGGGUAAUCCAUGAGUUUUCUUACCCAUGAUUCUAAGAAUACUUGUAAAAAAUAAAUACAUAUUUAAAUAUUCUAGACUCCCAAUUUCAGCCAAAGUAUCAUAAGUCAUUAAUAAAAUCAUCAAAUAUACAAGCUCCAUGAAUACCUAAUCAAGUAAUCUAAUAGAUAAAUCCAUCAUUACUAGACAACAAGUGACAAAAUUUACAAGUUUCCGUGUUGUGCGGCCGCCGCAAGGAGAUAGGGGAAAGGUGAGAGAGCGGAUGUGUGAGGUACUAAGGUGAGGGCCUAGAGUUUGACAGCAUUAUAUAUGAUUUUUAUUGGACUUGGCCUGUGUAUGGUGAUUUUGGUCCAUAAUUCUAACUUAUUGAAUCGGGUCCAAUCCCAUACCCUUACUCGCUUUACCCGCUGGCUAAAGCUUUUUCCCAUUAUCUUACCUAUGGAUAAAAAAAAUAGUCAUACCUUUACCCUAAUGAAGUAAUUAACCAUCGGAUUUCGAGUAAAAAUUGACAUCUUUAAGGUGGGGAAUGGCCGCCGCAUCUACCAUAGCCACCUGCUUCCUGAGAUCCAUGGGGAAAGAGCCCGCCGCUAGCCGAGGGUGAGGAGCCGCCGCCUCUGUGUGGCCAACUUCAUGUCGGGCCUCUACCGUGGCGGGGGUAGCUCACAGAAGGGAAGGGAUAAAGUUGGUGAGGGUGGGUCCCACCAUAAUUGGUGAAUAAUUUGCCAUGUAUUUCUCUAAUAUCUACUAUCUAAAGAAAUAUUUUGUAUUUUUUUCUGAAAAGUUUGGCAUAUUUGUCUUUGAGAUAUGUAAUCUAUAAAAAUACCUAAGAUAUAUCACUAUAUCCAAUAAAUGACACUAUGUGUUAGCAUUUUCUCACUACAUUUUCAAAGGUGUUAACACACUAGAUUCUAAUGCAUAUGCAUUAUCAACAACAGCUAGUGACACUUGAUAAACCGCUUUUAACCAUAAUUUUCCUCUCUUUAUAGUACAGCUAUCUAGUCGACUAGUCCAAACCCAAUUAUAUCCUCUAUGGUAUCUUGAUUGGCGAAACAAGAAUGGCCCUAUCACAUACCUUUGCCUUAAGCUCAUUUUUAUUUUUCUCUUUCUUUUUUUCCAAGUUGGAGCACUUGAUCUUCACACUUGACCACCUCCAUCAUCUAUAGAUGCCAUAAUCUAGCUGGUGUGUACCAAUCCUAUUUCCUAUCUUAUAUACACCUAAAGCAAUGGUUAGUAGACUUAGAUCUCAUCAAUUAUCCGAAACUAAACUAGAACUUUCAUGUAGUGACACAACAUCUACUUUCUCUCACCCUUCCUCUUUCAUGGAAUGCAAGCAUUCAUACAUCAUUAGUAUGUUGUAUGUAAUGAGUCUCUCUAGCACAAACACCGACUGUUCUUCCGAAAUCACCUUUGGGAAAAAAUAAUCCACAGUCUGUUUGCCACCGUCUUAGAAGCAAUCUUAUAUAUCAUGUUACAUAGACUGAUGAUAGGCCAAAACAGCCCGCUCGACCAACUUCUCCACUUUUGUGAUCAAUACUAUUCAUGUGCUAUUUAUCACAGAAGGAUCAUCCUCGCCACAUAAGUCCUAGUGCCGCUAAAAAAAAUGAGCAGGAAAACCAUCUGGCCCCGGCGUUUUUGUCUUAAACAUGUGAGAAAGCUUAGUCCUGAUCUCCUCCUUUCGUAUACAAGGCGAGUGUCCUGACAACUACUUGCAUCACUCUUUUGAUGUUGCACUAUCGUUGUUAGCCUUAUCAUUAACUCCUUUCCUCUCUAAUCUCUAGAAUUAAGCAAAGAUUUGAAUGCUUUCUCAAUUUACCAUCAUAUAAUUAUUAUAUUAUAAUAUAAUCAAAUAAAUACACCUCUUUUUAUUCAUCCCGCAAAUAUAUCUAGUGGCAAUGAGUAUGGAAAGAGCUAAUACGAAAACUAUCAUAGUGGUGGCCAAAUACAUGAGAAAAUAUUCAGUGCAAACUAUAGAUUGGGUGCAAACAUAAACCCUUUAUAACAUAAUUAGAUGUUUUCUUAAAAAAAUGCCCACUUCGCCACUAAAGUUAAGAUACAAAGAAAUGGGGUGGGGGUGUGAUGCAAAGAUAUUGGAGAGUGAAUCUCUUCUUUCAAACCUCCCAAGAAACUAGUCACAAAGUAAACAUAAUCGUAGGAGCUAUUGUACAAUAGAAUUUGAUGCGCAGGCUGUUCAAGCUACUCAAAUUACUGUGACCGAACUAGUCUACUGAAGAUGAUUGUUUCAUACAUAACUCAUAUUGGUCACGAUUAAAAUAAUUACAAACCGCAUCACAAGAGCAGGCCAAGAUGUGAAACAACCACACAACUCUUUAAAUUGUAACCAAGUGGCAGCGGUCCUCCAGAACUCAAUGCAACAGAGCUAGGCUUCAAUGUCUCGCUGAUAGAGUACAUCUCAAAAUAGAUCUUACAGUGAUCCUUCCACAACCAUAAAUUGUCACCAUCAAAUUUGGGGAAAUAUGAUUUGGGCAUCGGACCAACUGGAGAUGUAUAAGAAUAUGAAUGUUCCAUCGGUCCACCUAUCAUUCCCUUGUACUUGCGUGCCCGUUAGUUAGCUAUUAUGUUCCUCUUUUUUAUUGGAUCCCAAACACCUCUGCUUCUAGACCAACUUCCAUCGUCGUCUACACAUAUCCCAUGGAGUUAGAGCAAGUUUAAUUAAUACAGUCCACUUGCUGACUGUAAGGUUCCUUACAGCCUUCUUUCAGCCCCACCCAUACAAUAGUUAGUUAUUCAUUAUUAAUACAUGACUCACUUAUCUCUCUUACAAAGUUUUCAGCUUACAACAUGCUUCUCUUCUCUCUCCUCCACCUCAGUAUUUAGCCAGCUUACAGCCCACUAUAAUACUUGCUCUUAUGACAAAUGCCUACUUCUCUCGCCUUUUUAGUGAACACUAUAACUCCUGGAGUCUUCAUAUUAUUCGAAAAAUAAAUUCAAAUUUCAACAAUGACACAUUCAGCAGAAUAAAAAGUCUCCAAAUUUCUAUUAAAAAAGAGCAAACAUUCCUUAUUCAGUCAAACUUGCAAAGGAUUUCAAAACAGAAGACCUCGUAUAACCAUGAGGGUGUAAGUAAUCUCACAAACAAAGCAUCACAAACCACUUAUAAUCUCAAGUCCAUACACGGUACACCACACACUGCAUAGAGCAACUUUAUUUUGUUUUGUAUGAAAAAAGAGGAAAACUCCAGGAAAGAAAAAAGAAAAUUAAACCCAAACUUCAGGAAGGGGAAUCGCAUCCCAAUCGACUGAUUUAGUUGUAGGCGUCGGGGUUGGCGACGAGGUAGGCCUCGGCACCCUUGAAAAUGGCGGUGACUGCCUCCUUGGCCUUGACUUCCUCGUCCUUCUCGUCUACGCCAGGCAGCAGCUUGUAGGUCGACUCCACCUUCACCACGCUGCCGCCGCCGGCCGCGGGCUCCACCUUGAUGUGCGACGCCGCGGUCUCGAUGGCAACACCGAUGCCGCCGCCCUCGACGAGCGUGUUCUUGCACUCGCACUUGUCCACGUCCAGGAAAUCGAGCCUCUCCUUCAUGAAGCUGAACGGCAUGACUGCAAGAACGAUCGCGCACGUCAUUCGCUAGCUAUUUGAUCGAUCGAUCGGGCGACAACAUGUUGGUCUGGGCGACUGGGCAUGCUGCGGACACUUACAUGAGGUGAAGUUGAACUGCCUGACGCUGCCAACGCCGCCGUCGCCCUCCACGGGGUGGGCGCUGGCGACGACGUGGGAGGCGACCUUGGGCGCCAGGGUGUGCCAGUCCAUCACGGCGGCGCGGAACAGGCGCGGCGCGGCCACCGGCGAUGGAAUCUCCAGGGUCCAGCUGCUGGCGGAG